rnacentral:rRNA from 1 species
UACGUAGGUGGCAAGCGUUGUCCGGCUUUAUUGGGUUUAAAGGGUGCGUAGGCGGCUUUGUAAGUCAGUGGUGAAAUAUGGCAGCUCAACUGUCAGGGUGCCAUUGAUACUGCGGAGCUUGAGUACAGAUGAGGUAGGCGGAAUUGACGGUGUAGCGGUGAAAUGCUUAGAUAUCGUCAAGAACACCUAUAGCGAAGGCAGCUUACUAGGCUGUAACUGACGCUGAGGCACGAAAGUGUGGGGAUCAAACAGG